rnacentral:rRNA from 1 species
GACGAAUGCUGGCGGCGUGCCUAAUACAUGCAAGUCGAGCGAAUGGAUUAAGAGCUUGCUCUUAUGAAGUUAGCGGCGGACGGGUGAGUAACACGUGGGUAACCUGCCCAUAAGACUGGGAUAACUUCGGGAAACCGGGGCUAAUACCGGAUAACAUUUUGAACCGCAUGGUUCGAAAUUGAAAGGCGGCUUCGGCUGUCACUUAUGGAUGGACCCGCGUCGCAUUAGCUAGUUGGUGAGGUAACGGGUCACCAAGGCAACGAUGCGUAGCCGACCUGAGAGGGUGAUCGGCCACACUGGGACUGAGACACGGCCCAGACUCCUACGGGAGGCAGCAGUAGGGAAUCUUCCGCAAUGGACGAAAGUCUGACGGAGCAACGUCGCGUGAGUGAUGAAGGCUUUCGGGUCGUAAAACUCUGUUGUUAGGGAAGAACAAGUGCUAGUUGAAUAAGCUGGCACCUUGACGGUACCUAACCAGAAAGCCACGGCUAACUACGUGCCAGCAGCCGCCGCAG